rnacentral:rRNA from 1 species
CAGCCGCCACGGGAAUACGUAGGUGGCAAGCGUUGUCCGGAAUUAUUGGGCGUAAAGGGCUCGCAGGCGGUUUCUUAAGUCUGAUGUGAAAGCCCCCGGCUCAACCGGGGAGGGUCAUUGGAAACUGGGAAACUUGAGUGCAGAAGAGGAGAGUGGAAUUCCACGUGCAGCGGUGAAAUGCGUAGAGAUGUGGAGGAACACCAGUGGCGAAGGCGACUCUCUGGUCUGUAACUGACGCUGAGGAGCGAAAGCGUGGGGAGCGAACAGGAUUAGAGACCCCCGUAGUCCCUGUCUCUUAUAC